UAAAUAGCUUUGUGCUGUUACCAGAGUGACACUAUGCAUCACACAAUGCAAAUUGUUUACUGAAAACAUCUAUCUUUUUUAAUGGGUCAAGAAGACCAGGUAGCCAGAUGAUACACUUACUUCUGGCCUUGUGCAACACAUAAUGACUUCUUUGUCCUUUUGUUUUCUAUAAUAUUUUUUUUAGAGCAAGUGGAUUGGCCUACUUCAUCAUGUCUGUGACUCCCAUGAGUGGUUGGGCGGCAGGUGUGACCGUGAUGAUCAAAUCCAUGAUCCCAACUUAACAUGGUUUGACCGGCAUGACAAAGACUUUGCAGAAUUGCAGAAAGUCAUCUUAAACCCAGAGCUGCUUGACAACUUCCGAUUCUAUGUUAGAUUCAGGCACACUCGCAGAAUAGAGUGUGCAAACAGCCUGACCCUUGCAUACACUCCAAAGAGAGCACUGCUAAGCUAUAAAGCUUACAAGGCAAGGAAGUAUAUUGCUACAUUUGACUGGAAUUCCUAUUUGGAUCUCCCAGCAGCCACAAGCAAGUCUGGGAAUGAAAUCACCUCCAGGAGAUGUAAUCAGAGAACUCAGCGGUGGGAUGUAAGAACAGUAAAACAAAACAAAACCUUUGAGUGGAGGACAAUGAUCUCGUGGCACGCAAUGUGUCACUGAAUGAAAGCUAUCCACGUUUAGUGUCACCCACAAUUGCUGCAAAGCCUCCCCCUUUCUCGAAGGAACUGUUGGUUAGAAAAAGCAGGUUUAUUGUGCCCUCUAAGCAUGCAAAAUCAACAUCUGGUCAGGAUUUGGGGGAAAUGUUGUCAAAUGAAUAAUUUUUCCGCAAUAUUUAUUUCAUAUAAUGUGUAAACAUACAAUGUACAUCCACUUAGAAACUCACUGGGCCAUUAUGUUAUCAAACAAAAAAUAUGGAAAAUGUUCCAUUUUGAUACAACAUGAUAAUUACACCAGGGAAUAUUAUUUAGACUUUCGAUUCUCUACAAAUAUCAGUGUUUAUAUUUCUAUUGAAGGAGUGAAUCAAUGAGCAGGGAAAACACCUGUGGUAACUUGAAAUGACAAUUAAUGGACCACUGUAUUUUUUAUUGAACUGCAAUGCAUAUGCAUGACACCUGCACAAGAGUGAAAAAAAAAAUUUGUACCACUGAGAAAAAGUUAAGUUUGUAUAUUUAGUCACAAGUACAUCCCUCUAGGCGGUGUAUCAGAAAAGUUCAGAGUACAUCAACUAAGCAGUAAAAUAGUCCAUUGUAUCAAGUGUGAGUUACUGUAUUUUGUAAGAGGAACAUGUGGAAGGGUUUUACCUUGGCCACUCUAAAAACUCUAACACUUCGCUUUUCCCAUUUACCAAAAUCUCCAACUUCUUGAAACAACUGCUUUUAUCAAAGCUGGAAAACCAAACACUCAGAAAUUUGGUAUGAAUAACUCAACACCACAAUUCAAGGUCACCAUAAGCUUUCACAUUCAUAAGUGAUAAGCACAGUUAUCUAUAUUGACAUGUAGCCAGAAUGCAGUCUCGUACAUAAUGUCGGUGCUCCCAAUAUCCCAUGUAAACCCCUGUGACUGAUGGGUAUUGCUCGUGUAUUUUCAAAACUACACAUGAAGGACAAACACGCCUGUUUCCUUUACCAAGACGGCCAUACUUUGCUAA
rnacentral:lncRNA from 1 species